CCUACGGGUGGCAGCAGUGAGGAAUAUUGGUCAAUGGCCGGAAGGCUGAACCAGCCAAGCCGCGUGAGGGAGGAAGGCGCAGAGCGUCGCAGACCUCUUUUGCCGGGGGACAAAAGGCCGGCCGGGUCCGGUUCUGAGGGUACCCGGGGAAAAAGCACCGGCUAACUCCGUGCCGGCAGCCGCGGUAAUACGGAGGAUGCGAGCGUUAUCCGGUUUCUUUGGGUUUAAGGGGUGCGCAGGCGGGCCUUUAAGCCGGCGGUGAAAUCGCGGGGCUCAACCCCGCCGAGCCGUCGGAACUGGGGGCCUUGAGUGCGGCGGAGGCAUGCGGAAUGCGCGGUGUAGCGGUGAAAUGCAUAGAUAUCGCGCAGAACCCCGAUUGCGAAGGCAGCGUGCCGUGCCGCCACUGACGCUGAGGCACGAAAGCGCGGGGAUCGAACAGGAUUAGAUACCCCAGUAGUC
rnacentral:rRNA from 1 species